rnacentral:lncRNA from 1 species
GCAACCAUAAUUUAGGGACAAUGUGAAAAACACAAAAGUUCAUCUCAAGCACCGCGUCCGAAGAUUCAGUCAAUACAUGGGCACCUCCCCAGACAUACGAGUACAUCUAGAAAGGGCCCAUACGUAAAACUACAAAAGCCACCACAAGACCGUCAAACGGCAGGGAAUGGAUCAAGCCUAACAAGCCACACGGAUACCGUUUUAAAGGUAAGCAAAACAGGAACCACAUACGAACACCAAGGGCGUACAACGAAAACUGACAAGGAUUACAUGCAAACCGUUCAGUGCAAAAGCACAGAGCCGGCAAACACAAAUAUCCAAAGCACAUCUCACACGCCAACGCGUCAGCAAGACCCAACAUCACCGAACGCACCACGCCCCACAAUGCAAAAGCACUGCAAGCACAUGAAGUCGUCCAACAAUGCCGGAUCCGCAUCGCUAAGCAUGACAAAUUAAACGUGAGGGACAAAACCUGAGGGACGCGUGCUUCCGAGUCGGGACAACUGCAUCGGGGCGUGACUCAUUGAACAGCUAAAUCCAAGGGUUAACUUUAAUCUAGGACCAAAUGAAGGACCAAUAAGAAACCCAACGUAUUUAGAAGCUCAAUGUAGUCACGCCACGAGUCGGGACAACUGCAACGGGACGAGUCGGGACAAAUGCAUCGGGACGAGUCGGGACAACUGCAUCGGGGCAUGACUCAUUGAACAACUAAAUCCAAGGAUUAACUUUAAUCUAGGACCAAAUGAAGGACCAACAAGAAACCCAACGUAUUUAGAAGCUCAAUGUAGUCACGCCACGAGUCGGGACAACUGCAACGGGACGAGUCGGGACAACUGCAUCGGGACGAGUCGGGACAACUGCAUCGGGGCAUGACUCAUUGAACAACUAAAUCCAAGGGUUAACUUUAAUCUAGGACCAAAUGAAGGACCAAUAAGAAACCCAACGUAUUUAGAAGCUCAUUGUAGUCACCCCGCGAAGCCAACCAAGUUCCGAUUUUAGCCCAUCACCCAUGAAUCAUUUUGCCGACGUCUGUGAAGACUGGAGAAAGCACGGGGACGAUGCAUGGAACCCAACACCAGCUUGGUUGACACUGGUGAAGGGGCCCGAAUACCUCGAGAGCAUAGGAAAUAGCUUACCACAACUAGGACAACAUCUACCCGUGAGAUGCCAAUUCCUGUCCGAGUCAUGUUCACUACCACCUAAACCCGGGGGGAGCAGUCCAUGACUAAGGUGUUAGGGACAUUCCAAGCCAGCCAGCCAAGCUCACGAGCACCCCCAGCCAGUUUCAGAGAUGGACGAGGCGCCCCAGGACACCCCGUCCCUGCCACAGUCACAAAAAGUGACUAUUGCCCAAAGAUGUCCAAGCCAGUCACGCCCAGCAAGAGCUGGCAAAAAGUGUCCGAGAGCUCACAAAAAGUGUCCGAGAGCUCACAAAAAGGGUCCGAAAGCUGGCAAAAAGUGUCCGAGAGCUCACAAAAAGUGUCCGAGAGCUCACAAAAAGUGUCCGAGAGCUCCCAAAAAGUGUCCGAGAGCUGGCAAAAAGUGUCCGAGAGCUGGCAAAAAGUGUCCGAGAGCUGGCAAAAAGUGUAUUUUGCACGAAUGUUCAUCAACCCAAUAAUAAUAUCCUCAAAAAAAUUUGGAAUUUUUUGACAAACGGUGAAUUUUUUAAAAAUUAUAUAAGGGGCACAUUUUCUAGUUGAGGUACCUAGACUUGGAAUUGUUUCUUGAAAUUUUACAGGGACGUUGCCAAUAAUUAAAUAACACUUACCACAAAAAUUGGAAUUUUCUGGAAAGGGAUUAUUUAAUUAUAAGUUUUUAAAGUGCAGAAAAUAUUAAAAAUAUUAUUAAAAAAUAUUUAAAAAAUUAAAAAUAUAAUUAUGAUUAAAAUUUAUCAUGGGACUUGCAUCAUAAAACACAUAACAUGGACAUCAAAAAAUUCGUUGAAAACAAAAUUUGGAUUGCGUUACUAAGUGACUCGUGACUAGGGGCUCGUGAGUCGCGACUCGUGACUGGUGACUGGGGACUGGGGCUCGUGAGUCGCGAAUCGUGACUGGUGACUGGUGACUGGGGAAUGGUGACUGGGGACUGGGGACUGGUGACUGGGGACUGGUGACUGGUGACUGGGGACUGAUGACUGGGGGCUCGUGAAUCGCGACUCGUGACUGGGGGCUCGUGACUGGGGACUGGUGACUGGGGGCUCGUGAGUCGCGACUCGUGACUGGUGACUGGGGACUGGGGGCUCGUGAGUCGCGAAUCGUGACUGGUGACUGGUGACUGGGGAAUGGUGACUGGGGACUGGGGACUGGUGACUGGGGACUGGUGACUGGUGACUGGGGACUGAUGACUGGGGGCUCGUGAAUCGCGACUCGUGACUGGGGGCUCGUGACUGGGGACUGGUGACUGGGGGCUCGUGAAUCGCGACUCGUGACUGGGGGCUCGUGACUGGGGACUGGUGACUGGGGGCUCGUGAAUCGCGACUCGUGACUGGGGGCUCGUGACUGGGGACUGGUGACUGGGGGCUCGUGAAUCGCGACUCGUGACUGGGGGCUCGUGACUGGGGACUGGUGACUGGGGGCUCGUGAGUCGCGACUCGGGACUGGUGACUGGGGACUGGUGACUGGUGACUGGGGACUGAUGACUGGGGGCUCGUGAAUCGCGACUCGUGACUGAUGACUGGUGACUGGGGGCUCGUGACUGGGGACUGGUGACUGGGGGCUCGUGAGUCGCGACUCGUGACUUGUGACUGGUGACUCGUGACUGGUGACUGGGAGCUCGUGAGUCGCGACUCGUGACUGGUGACUGGGGACUGGUGACUAUUGACUGGGGGCUCGUGAGUCGCGACUCGUGACUUGUGACUGGUGACUCGUGACUGGUGACUGGGAGCUCGUGAGUCGCGACUCGUGACUAGUGACUGGUGACUGGGGACUGGUGACUAUUGACUGGGGGCUCGUGAGUCGCGACUGGUGACUGGUGACUGGGGGCUCAGGAGUCGCGACUGGGGACUGGUGACUGGGAGCUCGUGAGUCGCGACUCGUGACUAGUGACUGGUGACUGGGGACUGGUGACUAUUGACUGGGGGCUCGUGAGUCGCGACUGGUGACUGGUGACUGGGGGCUCAGGAGUCGCGACUGGGGACUGGUGACUGGGAGCUCGUGAGUCGCGACUCGUGACUAGUGACUGGUGACUGGGGACUGGUGACUAUUGACUGGGGGCUCGUGAGUCGCGACUCGUGACUUGUGACUGGUGACUCGUGACUGGUGACUGGGAGCUCGUGAGUCGCGACUCGUGACUAGUGACUGGUGACUGGGGACUGGUGACUAUUGACUGGGGGCUCGUGAGUCGCGACUCGUGACUUGUGACUGGUGACUCGUGACUGGUGACUGGGAGCUCGUGAGUCGCGACUCGUGACUAGUGACUGGUGACUGGGGACUGGUGACUAUUGACUGGGGGCUCGUGAGUCGCGACUCGUGACUUGUGACUGGUGACUCGUGACUGGUGACUGGGAGCUCGUGAGUCGCGACUCGUGACUAGUGACUGGUGACUGGGGACUGGUGACUAUUGACUGGGGGCUCGUGAGUCGCGACUCGUGACUUGUGACUGGUGACUCGUGACUGGUGACUGGGAGCUCGUGAGUCGCGACUCGUGACUAGUGACUGGUGACUGGGGACUGGUGACUGGGGACUGGUGACUGGGGACUGGUGACUGGGGACUGGUGACUGGGGACUGGUGACUGGGGACUGGUGACUGGGGACUGGUGACUGGGGACUGGUGACUGGGGACUGGUGACUGGGGACUGGUGACUGGGGACUGGUGACUGGGGACUGGUGACUGGGGACUGGUGACUGGGGACUGGUGACUGGGGACUGGUGACUGGGGACUGGUGACUAUUGACUGGGGGCUCGUGAGUCGCGACUCGUGACUAGUGACUGGUGACUGGGGACUGGUGACUGGGGACUGGUGACUGGGGACUGGUGACUGGGGACUGGUGACUGGGGACUGGUGACUGGGGACUGGUGACUGGGGACUGGUGACUGGGGACUGGUGACUGGGGACUGGUGACUGGGGACUGGUGACUGGGGACUGGUGACUGGGGACUGGUGACUGGGGACUGGUGACUAUUGACUGGGGGCUCGUGAGUCGCGACUCGUGACUUGUGACUGGUGACUCGUGACUGGUGACUGGGAGCUCGUGAGUCGCGACUCGUGACUAGUGACUGGUGACUGGGGACUGGUGACUGGGGACUGGUGACUGGGGACUGGUGACUGGGGACUGGUGACUGGGGACUGGUGACUGGGGACUGGUGACUGGGGACUGGUGACUGGGGACUGGUGACUGGGGACUGGUGACUGGGGACUGGUGACUGGGGACUGGUGACUGGGGACUGGUGACUAUUGACUGGGGGCUCGUGAGUCGCGACUCGUGACUUGUGACUGGUGACUCGUGACUGGUGACUGGGAGCUCGUGAGUCGCGACUCGUGACUAGUGACUGGUGACUGGGGACUGGUGACUAUUGACUGGGGGCUCGUGAGUCGCGACUCGUGACUUGUGACUGGUGACUCGUGACUGGUGACUGGGAGCUCGUGAGUCGCGACUCGUGACUAGUGACUGGUGACUGGGGACUGGUGACUGGGGACUGGUGACUGGGGACUGGUGACUGGGGACUGGUGACUAUUGACUGGGGGCUCGUGAGUCGCGACUCGUGACUUGUGACUGGUGACUCGUGACUGGUGACUGGGAGCUCGUGAGUCGCGACUCGUGACUAGUGACUGGUGACUGGGGACUGGUGACUGGGGACUGGUGACUGGGGACUGGUGACUGGGGACUGGUGACUGGGGACUGGUGACUGGGGACUGGUGACUGGGGACUGGUGACUGGGGACUGGUGACUGGGGACUGGUGACUGGGGACUGGUGACUAUUGACUGGGGGCUCGUGAGUCGCGACUCGUGACUUGUGACUGGUGACUCGUGACUGGUGACUGGGAGCUCGUGAGUCGCGACUCGUGACUAGUGACUGGUGACUGGGGACUGGUGACUAUUGACUGGGGGCUCGUGAGUCGCGACUCGUGACUUGUGACUGGUGACUCGUGACUGGUGACUGGGAGCUCGUGAGUCGCGACUCGUGACUAGUGACUGGUGACUGGGGACUGGUGACUGGGGACUGGUGACUGGGGACUGGUGACUGGGGACUGGUGACUGGGGACUGGUGACUGGGGACUGGUGACUAUUGACUGGGGGCUCGUGAGUCGCGACUCGUGACUUGUGACUGGUGACUCGUGACUGGUGACUGGGAGCUCGUGAGUCGCGACUCGUGACUAGUGACUGGUGACUGGGGACUGGUGACUAUUGACUGGGGGCUCGUGAGUCGCGACUCGUGACUUGUGACUGGUGACUCGUGACUGGUGACUGGGAGCUCGUGAGUCGCGACUCGUGACUAGUGACUGGUGACUGGGGACUGGUGACUAUUGACUGGGGGCUCGUGAGUCGCGACUCGUGACUUGUGACUGGUGACUCGUGACUGGUGACUGGGAGCUCGUGAGUCGCGACUCGUGACUAGUGACUGGUGACUGGGGACUGGUGACUAUUGACUGGGGGCUCGUGAGUCGCGACUCGUGACUUGUGACUGGUGACUCGUGACUGGUGACUGGGAGCUCGUGAGUCGCGACUCGUGACUAGUGACUGGUGACUGGGGACUGGUGACUAUUGACUGGGGGCUCGUGAGUCGCGACUCGUGACUUGUGACUGGUGACUCGUGACUGGUGACUGGGAGCUCGUGAGUCGCGACUCGUGACUAGUGACUGGUGACUGGGGACUGGUGACUAUUGACUGGGGGCUCGUGAGUCGCGACUCGUGACUUGUGACUGGUGACUCGUGACUGGUGACUGGGAGCUCGUGAGUCGCGACUCGUGACUAGUGACUGGUGACUGGGGACUGGUGACUGGGGACUGGUGACUGGGGACUGGUGACUGGGGACUGGUGACUGGGGACUGGUGACUGGGGACUGGUGACUGGGGACUGGUGACUGGGGACUGGUGACUGGGGACUGGUGACUGGGGACUGGUGACUGGGGACUGGUGACUGGGGACUGGUGACUGGGGACUGGUGACUGGGGACUGGUGACUGGGGACUGGUGACUGGGGACUGGUGACUAUUGACUGGGGGCUCGUGAGUCGCGACUCGUGACUAGUGACUGGUGACUGGGGACUGGUGACUGGGGACUGGUGACUGGGGACUGGUGACUGGGGACUGGUGACUGGGGACUGGUGACUGGGGACUGGUGACUGGGGACUGGUGACUGGGGACUGGUGACUGGGGACUGGUGACUGGGGACUGGUGACUGGGGACUGGUGACUGGGGACUGGUGACUGGGGACUGGUGACUAUUGACUGGGGGCUCGUGAGUCGCGACUCGUGACUUGUGACUGGUGACUCGUGACUGGUGACUGGGAGCUCGUGAGUCGCGACUCGUGACUAGUGACUGGUGACUGGGGACUGGUGACUGGGGACUGGUGACUGGGGACUGGUGACUGGGGACUGGUGACUGGGGACUGGUGACUGGGGACUGGUGACUGGGGACUGGUGACUGGGGACUGGUGACUGGGGACUGGUGACUGGGGACUGGUGACUGGGGACUGGUGACUGGGGACUGGUGACUAUUGACUGGGGGCUCGUGAGUCGCGACUCGUGACUUGUGACUGGUGACUCGUGACUGGUGACUGGGAGCUCGUGAGUCGCGACUCGUGACUAGUGACUGGUGACUGGGGACUGGUGACUAUUGACUGGGGGCUCGUGAGUCGCGACUCGUGACUUGUGACUGGUGACUCGUGACUGGUGACUGGGAGCUCGUGAGUCGCGACUCGUGACUAGUGACUGGUGACUGGGGACUGGUGACUGGGGACUGGUGACUGGGGACUGGUGACUGGGGACUGGUGACUAUUGACUGGGGGCUCGUGAGUCGCGACUCGUGACUUGUGACUGGUGACUCGUGACUGGUGACUGGGAGCUCGUGAGUCGCGACUCGUGACUAGUGACUGGUGACUGGGGACUGGUGACUGGGGACUGGUGACUGGGGACUGGUGACUGGGGACUGGUGACUGGGGACUGGUGACUGGGGACUGGUGACUGGGGACUGGUGACUGGGGACUGGUGACUGGGGACUGGUGACUGGGGACUGGUGACUAUUGACUGGGGGCUCGUGAGUCGCGACUCGUGACUUGUGACUGGUGACUCGUGACUGGUGACUGGGAGCUCGUGAGUCGCGACUCGUGACUAGUGACUGGUGACUGGGGACUGGUGACUAUUGACUGGGGGCUCGUGAGUCGCGACUCGUGACUUGUGACUGGUGACUCGUGACUGGUGACUGGGAGCUCGUGAGUCGCGACUCGUGACUAGUGACUGGUGACUGGGGACUGGUGACUGGGGACUGGUGACUGGGGACUGGUGACUGGGGACUGGUGACUGGGGACUGGUGACUGGGGACUGGUGACUAUUGACUGGGGGCUCGUGAGUCGCGACUCGUGACUUGUGACUGGUGACUCGUGACUGGUGACUGGGAGCUCGUGAGUCGCGACUCGUGACUAGUGACUGGUGACUGGGGACUGGUGACUAUUGACUGGGGGCUCGUGAGUCGCGACUCGUGACUUGUGACUGGUGACUCGUGACUGGUGACUGGGAGCUCGUGAGUCGCGACUCGUGACUAGUGACUGGUGACUGGGGACUGGUGACUAUUGACUGGGGGCUCGUGAGUCGCGACUCGUGACUUGUGACUGGUGACUCGUGACUGGUGACUGGGAGCUCGUGAGUCGCGACUCGUGACUAGUGACUGGUGACUGGGGACUGGUGACUAUUGACUGGGGGCUCGUGAGUCGCGACUCGUGACUUGUGACUGGUGACUCGUGACUGGUGACUGGGAGCUCGUGAGUCGCGACUCGUGACUAGUGACUGGUGACUGGGGACUGGUGACUAUUGACUGGGGGCUCGUGAGUCGCGACUCGUGACUUGUGACUGGUGACUCGUGACUGGUGACUGGGAGCUCGUGAGUCGCGACUCGUGACUAGUGACUGGUGACUGGGGACUGGUGACUAUUGACUGGGGGCUCGUGAGUCGCGACUCGUGACUUGUGACUGGUGACUCGUGACUGGUGACUGGGAGCUCGUGAGUCGCGACUCGUGACUAGUGACUGGUGACUGGGGACUGGUGACUGGGGACUGGUGACUGGGGACUGGUGACUGGGGACUGGUGACUGGGGACUGGUGACUGGGGACUGGUGACUGGGGACUGGUGACUGGGGACUGGUGACUGGGGACUGGUGACUGGGGACUGGUGACUGGGGACUGGUGACUGGGGACUGGUGACUGGGGACUGGUGACUGGGGACUGGUGACUGGGGACUGGUGACUGGGGACUGGUGACUAUUGACUGGGGGCUCGUGAGUCGCGACUCGUGACUAGUGACUGGUGACUGGGGACUGGUGACUGGGGACUGGUGACUGGGGACUGGUGACUGGGGACUGGUGACUGGGGACUGGUGACUGGGGACUGGUGACUGGGGACUGGUGACUGGGGACUGGUGACUGGGGACUGGUGACUGGGGACUGGUGACUGGGGACUGGUGACUGGGGACUGGUGACUGGGGACUGGUGACUAUUGACUGGGGGCUCGUGAGUCGCGACUCGUGACUUGUGACUGGUGACUCGUGACUGGUGACUGGGAGCUCGUGAGUCGCGACUCGUGACUAGUGACUGGUGACUGGGGACUGGUGACUGGGGACUGGUGACUGGGGACUGGUGACUGGGGACUGGUGACUGGGGACUGGUGACUGGGGACUGGUGACUGGGGACUGGUGACUGGGGACUGGUGACUGGGGACUGGUGACUGGGGACUGGUGACUGGGGACUGGUGACUGGGGACUGGUGACUAUUGACUGGGGGCUCGUGAGUCGCGACUCGUGACUUGUGACUGGUGACUCGUGACUGGUGACUGGGAGCUCGUGAGUCGCGACUCGUGACUAGUGACUGGUGACUGGGGACUGGUGACUAUUGACUGGGGGCUCGUGAGUCGCGACUCGUGACUUGUGACUGGUGACUCGUGACUGGUGACUGGGAGCUCGUGAGUCGCGACUCGUGACUAGUGACUGGUGACUGGGGACUGGUGACUGGGGACUGGUGACUGGGGACUGGUGACUGGGGACUGGUGACUAUUGACUGGGGGCUCGUGAGUCGCGACUCGUGACUUGUGACUGGUGACUCGUGACUGGUGACUGGGAGCUCGUGAGUCGCGACUCGUGACUAGUGACUGGUGACUGGGGACUGGUGACUGGGGACUGGUGACUGGGGACUGGUGACUGGGGACUGGUGACUGGGGACUGGUGACUGGGGACUGGUGACUGGGGACUGGUGACUGGGGACUGGUGACUGGGGACUGGUGACUGGGGACUGGUGACUAUUGACUGGGGGCUCGUGAGUCGCGACUCGUGACUUGUGACUGGUGACUCGUGACUGGUGACUGGGAGCUCGUGAGUCGCGACUCGUGACUAGUGACUGGUGACUGGGGACUGGUGACUAUUGACUGGGGGCUCGUGAGUCGCGACUCGUGACUUGUGACUGGUGACUCGUGACUGGUGACUGGGAGCUCGUGAGUCGCGACUCGUGACUAGUGACUGGUGACUGGGGACUGGUGACUGGGGACUGGUGACUGGGGACUGGUGACUGGGGACUGGUGACUGGGGACUGGUGACUGGGGACUGGUGACUAUUGACUGGGGGCUCGUGAGUCGCGACUCGUGACUUGUGACUGGUGACUCGUGACUGGUGACUGGGAGCUCGUGAGUCGCGACUCGUGACUAGUGACUGGUGACUGGGGACUGGUGACUAUUGACUGGGGGCUCGUGAGUCGCGACUCGUGACUUGUGACUGGUGACUCGUGACUGGUGACUGGGAGCUCGUGAGUCGCGACUCGUGACUAGUGACUGGUGACUGGGGACUGGUGACUAUUGACUGGGGGCUCGUGAGUCGCGACUCGUGACUUGUGACUGGUGACUCGUGACUGGUGACUGGGAGCUCGUGAGUCGCGACUCGUGACUAGUGACUGGUGACUGGGGACUGGUGACUAUUGACUGGGGGCUCGUGAGUCGCGACUCGUGACUUGUGACUGGUGACUCGUGACUGGUGACUGGGAGCUCGUGAGUCGCGACUCGUGACUAGUGACUGGUGACUGGGGACUGGUGACUAUUGACUGGGGGCUCGUGAGUCGCGACUCGUGACUUGUGACUGGUGACUCGUGACUGGUGACUGGGAGCUCGUGAGUCGCGACUCGUGACUAGUGACUGGUGACUGGGGACUGGUGACUAUUGACUGGGGGCUCGUGAGUCGCGACUCGUGACUUGUGACUGGUGACUCGUGACUGGUGACUGGGAGCUCGUGAGUCGCGACUCGUGACUAGUGACUGGUGACUGGGGACUGGUGACUGGGGACUGGUGACUGGGGACUGGUGACUGGGGACUGGUGACUGGGGACUGGUGACUGGGGACUGGUGACUGGGGACUGGUGACUGGGGACUGGUGACUGGGGACUGGUGACUGGGGACUGGUGACUGGGGACUGGUGACUGGGGACUGGUGACUGGGGACUGGUGACUGGGGACUGGUGACUGGGGACUGGUGACUGGGGACUGGUGACUAUUGACUGGGGGCUCGUGAGUCGCGACUCGUGACUAGUGACUGGUGACUGGGGACUGGUGACUGGGGACUGGUGACUGGGGACUGGUGACUGGGGACUGGUGACUGGGGACUGGUGACUGGGGACUGGUGACUGGGGACUGGUGACUGGGGACUGGUGACUGGGGACUGGUGACUGGGGACUGGUGACUGGGGACUGGUGACUGGGGACUGGUGACUGGGGACUGGUGACUAUUGACUGGGGGCUCGUGAGUCGCGACUCGUGACUUGUGACUGGUGACUCGUGACUGGUGACUGGGAGCUCGUGAGUCGCGACUCGUGACUAGUGACUGGUGACUGGGGACUGGUGACUGGGGACUGGUGACUGGGGACUGGUGACUGGGGACUGGUGACUGGGGACUGGUGACUGGGGACUGGUGACUGGGGACUGGUGACUGGGGACUGGUGACUGGGGACUGGUGACUGGGGACUGGUGACUGGGGACUGGUGACUGGGGACUGGUGACUAUUGACUGGGGGCUCGUGAGUCGCGACUCGUGACUUGUGACUGGUGACUCGUGACUGGUGACUGGGAGCUCGUGAGUCGCGACUCGUGACUAGUGACUGGUGACUGGGGACUGGUGACUAUUGACUGGGGGCUCGUGAGUCGCGACUCGUGACUUGUGACUGGUGACUCGUGACUGGUGACUGGGAGCUCGUGAGUCGCGACUCGUGACUAGUGACUGGUGACUGGGGACUGGUGACUGGGGACUGGUGUUGAUUUAAUGAGCCAUUUGCAGUUUCACAGUCUGAAUUAGUUCAUACUUACACAUGCAUGGCUUAACCUUUGAGACAAGCAUAUGACUACUGGCAGGAUCAACCAGGUAGCAUCCAUUACUGACUCUACCAUAAUGCAAGCUUUGCGCCCACGAAAGGCAAUUAAAACGUGCAGAACAGCAGGCAUAAUUUAAGGCAACCAUAAUUUAGGGACAAUGUGAAAAACACAAAAGUUCAUCUCAAGCACCGCGUCCGAAGAUUCAGUCAAUACAUGGGCACCUCCCCAGACAUACGAGUACAUCUAGAAAGGGCUCAUACGAAAAACUAAAAAGACGGUGAAGGGGGGGGGGAUGGACCAAGCCAAAAAAGCCACACGGAUACCGUUUUAAAGGUAAGCAAAACAGGAACCACAUACGAACACCAAGGGCGUACAACGAAAACUGACAAGGAUUACAUGCAAACCGUUCAGUGCAAAAGCACAGAGCCGGCAAACACAAAUAUCAAAAGCACAUCUCACACGCCAACGUGUCAGCAAGACCCAACAUCACCGAACACACCACGCCCCACAAUGCAAAAGCAUUGCAAGCACAUGAAUUCGUCCAACAAUGUCGGCUCCGCAUCGCUAAGCAUGACAAAUUAAACGUGAGGGACAAAACCUAAGGGACGCGUGCUUCCGAGUCGGG